UGCAGGAGUCACGCUGUGGUGUCUGGAGGAGUCACGCUGUGGUGUCUGGAGGAGUCACGCUGUGGUGUCUGGAGGAGUCACGCUGUGGUGUCUGGAGGAGUCACGCUGUGGUGUCUGGAGGAGUCGUGCUGUGGUGUCUGUAGGAGUCACGGUGUGGUAUCUGGAGGAGUCACGCUGUGGUGUCUGCAGGAGUCACGCUGCGGUGUCUGGAGGAGUCACGGUGUGGUAUCUGGAGGAGUCACACUGUGGUGUCUGUAGGAGUCACGCUGUGGUGUCUGGAGGAGUCACGCUGUGGCGUCUGUAGGAGUCAUGCUGUCGUGUCUGGAGGAGUCACGCUGUGGUGUCUGGAGGAGUCACGUUGUGGUGUCUGUAGGAGUCACGCUGUGGUGUCUGGAGGAGUCACGCUGUGGUGUCUGGAGGAGUCACGCUGUGGUGUCUGUAGGAGUCACGCUGUGGUGUCUGUAGAAGUCACGCUGUGGUGUCUGGAGGAGUCACGCUGUGGUGUCUGUAGGAGUCACGGUGUGGUAUCUGGAGGAGUCACGCUGUGGUGUCUGGAGGAGUCACGGUGUGGUGUCUGGAGGAGUCACGCUGUGGUGUCUGCAGGAGUCACGCUGUGGUGUCUGCAGGAGUCACGGUGUGGUGUCUGGAGGAGUCACGCUGUGGUGUCUGCAGGAGUCACGCUGUGUUGUCUGGAGGAGUCACGCUGUGGUGUCUGUAGGAGUCACGGUGUGGUGUCUGGAGGAGUCACGCUGUGGUGUCUGGAGGAGUCACGGUGUGGUGUCUGGAGGAGUCACGCUGUGGUGUCUGGUAUCUGGAGGAGUCACGCUGCGGUGUCUGGAGGAGUCACGGUGUGGUAUCUGGAGGAGUCACGCUGUGGUGUCUGGAGGAGUCACGCUGUGGUAUCUGGAGGAGUCACGCUGUGGUGUCUGUAGGAGUCGCGCUGUGGUGUCUGGAGGAGUUGCGCUGUGGUGUCUGGAGGAGUCAUGCUGUGGUGUCUGGAGGAGUCACGCUGUGGUAUCUGGAGGAGUCACGCUGUGGUGUCUGGAGGAGUCACGGUGUGGUAUCUGGAGGAGUCACGGUGUGGUGUCUGGAGGAGUCACGCUGUGGUGUCUGCAGGAGUCACGCUGUGGUGUCUGUAGGAGUCACGCUGUGGUGUCUGUAGGAGUCACGGUGUGGUGUCUGGAGGAGUCACGCUGUGGUGUCUGGAGGAGUCACGCUGUGGUGUCUGAAGGAGUCACGCUGUGGUGUCUGCAGGAGUCACGCUGUGGUGUCUGGAGGACACCACAGCGCGUUUGCUGUGCUCUGCACCCAGCCGACCCGGCUGUAAUCAAUACAACAAUAAACCGGAGGAUGAACCAAGACAAGCAUAUGUGUGCCUCAUUGAGCGAACGCGAGUAACAAAAAUAAAACCACGCUAACCCUUAUAAA